UACGGAGGGUGCGAGCGUUAAUUGGAAUUACUGGGCGUAAAGCGUACGUAGGCGGUUGGGUAAGUCGGAUGUGAAAGCCCUGGGCUUAACCUGGGAACUGCAUUCGAUACUGCUCGGCUAGAGUAUGGGAGAGGGAAGCGGAAUUUCCGGUGUAGCGGUGAAAUGCGUAGAUAUCGGAAGGAACACCAAUGGCGAAGGCAGCUUCCUGGCCCAAUACUGUCGCUCAGGUGCGAAAGCGUGGGGAUCAAACAGG
rnacentral:rRNA from 1 species